rnacentral:lncRNA from 1 species
AGGGAUUGGGAGUGGGAAUAAUAGGUGAAUUUCAAAAGGUAAAAACUUCCAGUUAUAAAAGAAGUAACAGGAUAUAUAACAUACAGAAUGGUAAAGAGAUAGACCUUAAACGUUCAUCACAAGAAAAAUGAGUUAUAGCUAUGCAGACUGAUAAAUAACUAGAUUUAUUAUGAUUAUUAUUUCACACUGUAUACGCACAUUGAAUUAUGUUGUACACCUGAAAGCAAUAAAAUGUUAUAUGUGAAUUAUAUCUCAAUAAAAAUUUCAUUUAAAAUAAAUUUAUUUCCAGGUAUGUUUCUCAUUUAACCAAAGAGGAGAAAUAUCUGUACAGAUGAAAACUGCCAUUAAUUACAAAAGAAUUGGAGACACAAAUAAAUGGGAAGGUAGCCCUUGUCCUGACUCCUUAUGUAGGACUGUGCGAAGAGGCUCCCUCUCAGUAAGGCCUACUCAGCCUAGAGACAACUGUGCCAUUUGGGAGGUGAGUGCAGUCAAGCCAAGGGAGGCCUGAGGUUUGUUUCCUGAUCCCUCUGAACUCCCAUGUGAGGCGGAUCCUGGAUGGAGGUCCAGAGAACCUGCUUUGGGAGUUUUUGCAAGGAGAAUUGAAGUACUCAGCUGCAGAGGUUUGGAUGGGUCCCUAGGCCUGGAGAGUGGUUGGAGGCCUUUGCAGGUGUCUGAGGACUAUGAAAGCCCAAGUCAUCCAGGAAGGAGAUCCAACCUCUGAGUAAAUGGAGAAAGAGAUCAGCAUCCACCAGAGCUAGCUAAGGAUGUGGGUGGGGGGCAAGGAGACAACGCACCAGAGACCAGACUCAAAAGACCUUUAAAGACCUUACUCUUCUCUGUACUAUAAUACAGAGCCCUCAGCUCAUAUGCCUGAGGAAGGGAAGUGGGCAAAGGCGACCUAUUAGUUAGGGUCCUCUAGAGAAACAGAACCAGUAGGAGAUAGCUCUCUCUGUGUAUCUGUGUCUCUCUUAGUCUCUCUUCCUGCUAUCUACAGUUAGCUAGCUGGAGACCCAGGAGAGCCAAUGGUGUAGUUCUGAUUCUGAAGGUAAGAGAAGACUGAUGUCCUGCUCAAAGAGGCAGAGAGAGUGCAAAUUUUCUCUUAUCCAGUCUUUUUGUUCCAGUCAGGUAUUUAUCGGAUUGGACGAGGCCUCCCCAGCAAUCUGCUCUCCCCAGUCUACGACGAGAUCGUAAUCUCAUCCAGAAACACCCUCACAGAAACACCAAGAAUAAUGUUUCACCAAAUCUCUGGGUGCCCUGUGGCCCCAUCAAGGUAGCACAUAAAAUUAGCUGUAUCACAGGGAGCCAUCAAGAAACAGAAGUUUUCCUAAAAGAGAUAGAAUAUUAGCUGAAGGGGCUAUUUACAUGAUCAGAUUGGAUUAUAUUUAAUCAAUAUUGGAGACUUGAUUUUUUUCUUUUCAUCCCACUGACUACUAAAUGAGAGAUGGAGGGAAUAGAUAAAUGCUAAGAAAAUAAAAUUUACAUUUUCUCAGCA